rnacentral:ncRNA from 1 species
UAAAAAAAAAAGGGGGGGGGGUCUGCAAAAUAGAUCUGUUACUUUGGGAAAAGGAUUGGCUCUGAGGGUUGGGCCUAGGGGUCUCUUGUGUUAGGUGGGACUGUGGGUAACUGCGGAUCUUCUAGACAGCCUGGAUUGCGAGGGCCUGAAAAGGUGUUGACGCAAUGUGAUUUCUGCUCAGGGCUCUGAAUGCCAAAGUGAAGGAAUUCAACCAAGCGCGGGUAAAAGGCAGGAGUAACUAUGACUCUCUUAAGGUAGCCAAAUGCCUAGUCAUCUAAUUAGUGAUGUGCAUGAAUGGAUGAAUGAGAUUCCCACUGUCCCUAUCUACUAUCUAGUGAACUCUCAGCCAAGGGAACGUGCUUGGAAGAAUCAGCUGGGAAAGAAGACCCUGUUGAGCUUGACUCUAGUCCAACGUUGUGAAAUGACUUAUGAGGUGUAGAAUAAGUGGGAGUUUCUGCGCACAUAAAAUACCACUACUUGUAAUGUUGUUUUACUUCUUCUGUGACGUAGCAUCCAGUGCCUUCGCAGGCCCUGGUUCUAGAUCGUAGCUGUUUCGUGCAGUGAGCUCUGCAGGAGACAACAUCAGGUGCACAUCUGUUAGAGAAUAACACAGGUGUCCUAAGGUCAGCUCAAUGAGAACAGAAAUCUCAUGUAGAACAAAAGGGUAAAAGCUGACUUGAUUUUGAUUUCUAGUACAAAUACAAAGCAAGAAAUUGUGGCCUAUCAAUUCUUUCAGUUUUUAGAAUUUGAAGUGAGAGGUAGGUGUCAGAAAAGCUACAGGGACAACUAGCUUGUGGCAGCCAAUCAUACAUAGCGACGUUGCUUUUACUUCAUAAUCAUACUCAACUCAAUAAUUAACCACUAUUACUAUUACUAUUAUUACUUACUUCAUUACCCUACUUACUCAAC